CUAUGUCGAACUGUCCAAUUUCUUCAAGAAAGAAAUGUUAAUGUUGUUAUCCGUGAUGAGCGUGACCUUAAUGUCAUCCGUGUUCGAGAGGCAAAAGAAAAGGAAAUUGCCAAGGCAUUGUUGAAGAAAAACGAAAAGACCAUCGUUUUGGGCAAGGGAAAGGAAAAUGCAUGUUCAGUACUAUGGCUCUUCAACAUUUCCAUUUAAAGUUCUUUUUUUGAAAUAUUUAUUUUGGA